rnacentral:rRNA from 1 species
CCUACGGGUGGCAGCAGUAGGGAAUCUUCCACAAUGGGCGAAAGCCUGAUGGAGCAACGCCGCGUGGGUGAAGAAGGUCUUCGGAUCGUAAAACCCUGUUGUUAGAUAAGAAAGUGCGUGAGAGUAACUGUUCACGUUUCGACGGUAUCUACCCAGAAAGCCACGUCUAACUACGUGCCAGCAUCCGCGGUAAUAUGUAGGUGGCAAGCGUUAUCCGGAUUUAUUGGGCGUAAAGGGAACGCAGGCGGUCUUUUAAGUCUGAUGUGAAAGCCUUCGGCUUAACCGGAGUAGUGCAUUGGAAACUGGGAGACGUGAGUGCAGAAGAGGAGAGUGGAACUCCAUGUGUAGCGGUGAAAUGCGUAGAUAUAUGGAAGAACACCAGUGGCGAAAGCGGCUCUCUGGUCUGUAACUGACGCUGAGGUUCGAAAGCGUGGGUAGCAAACAGGAUUAGAUACCCUUGUAGUC